rnacentral:rRNA from 1 species
UACAGAGGUGGCAAGCGUUGUUCGGAAUUACUGGGCGUAAAGGGCGCGUAGGCGGUUCGUUAAGUCCUGUGUGAAAUCCCCCGGCUCAACUGGGGAACUGCACAGGAAACUAGCGGGCUUGAGUUCGGGAGAGGGAAGCGGAAUUCCGGGUAUAGCGGUGAAAUGCGUAGAUAUCCGGAGGAACACCGGUGGCGAAGGCGGCUUCCUGGACCGACACUGACGCUGAGGCGCGAAAGCUAGGGGAGCAAACGGG